AUAAGGGAUCAUAGCUUUCACCUGGAGUCACCUGGUCAGUCUAUGUCAUGGAAAGAGCAGGUGUUCCUAAUGUUUUGUACACCCGUAUAUUUAAGCCACGAGGCCGAUGGGAUAUGGAUGCCUGAUGAAGACCUAAGGGUAUGUCAUGGAAAGAGCAGGUGUUCCUAAUGUUUUGUCACCCGUAUAUUUAAGUAACGAGGCCAAUGGGAUGUGGAUGCCUGAUGAAGACCUAAGGGUAUGUCAUGGAAAGAGCAGGUGUUCCUAAUGUUUUGUACACCCGUAUAUUUAAGCCACGAGGCCGAUGGGAUAUGGAUGCCUGAUGAAGACCUAAGGGUAUGUCAUGGAAAGAGCAGGUGUUCCUAAUGUUUUGUACACCCGUAUAUUUAAGCCACGAGGCCGAUGGGAUAUGGAUGCCUGAUGAAGACCUAAGGGUAUGUCAUGGAAAGAGCAGGUGUUCCUAAUGUUUUGUACACCCGUAUAUUUAAGCAACGAGGCCAAUGGGAUGUGGAUGCCUGAUGAAGACCUAAGGGUAUGUCAUGGAAAGAGCAGGUGUUCCUAAUGUUUUGUACACCCGUAUAUUUAAGCAACGAGGCCAAUGGGAUGUGGAUGCCUGAUGAAGACCUAAAGGUCAAAACGUUGUUAUAAAUAAACAUCACCUGGGAGCGCGA